rnacentral:rRNA from 1 species
AACGAACGCUGGCGGCAUGCCUAACACAUGCAAGUCGAACGAGACCUUCGGGUCUAGUGGCGCACGGGCGCGUAACGCGUUGGAACCUGCCCUUAGGUUCGGAAUAACUCCCCGAAAGGGGUGCUAAUACCGGAUAAUGUCUUCGGACCAAAGAUUUAUCGCCUUUGGAUGGGCCCGCGUUGGAUUAGCUAGUUGGUAGGGUAAAAGCCUACCAAGGCGACGAUCCAUAGCUGGUCUGAGAGGAUGAUCAGCCACACUGGGACUGAGACACGGCCCAGACUCCUACGGGAGGCAGCAGUGGGGAAUAUUGGACAAUGGGGGAAAGCCUGAUCCAGCAAUGCCGCGUGAGUGAUGAAGGCCUUAGGGUUGUAAAGCUCUUUUACCCGGGAUGAUAAUGACGGUACCGGAAGAAUAAGCUCCGGCUAACUCCGUG